rnacentral:lncRNA from 1 species
UUCGGAUCCUUCUAUCUCCACCACCUGAGCUGGGAUAAAGGCAUGCACAGCUGUGCCUGGUUUAUGUGGAGCUGGGGAUGAAAUCCAGGACUUCACGCAUGCUAGGCAAGCACUCUAUCACCCGAGCUACAUCUUAAGUCCCUUCCAUCAAUUUGGAAUUCCCACCAUUGCGCCACAAGCAAUUGAGCCUCAGCUUCCCUCUGAGAAUACAGGCCACACUGCAGCUCUCCAGCAGUCUGACCAGAGCUGAGGUUCAGGCACAGCUCGGUACCCUGAGUGCCCUGGGGGGUGCUUCUAUCAAGCUCUCCACCACAGACCACUAUGGGCUACACACUCAAAGGCAGUUUUAGGAUCAUGUUAGCCUGGGGCUGGCUUGGAAAGACUUUCUCAAGAGAAACCAGAUUAAUCUCUGCCUCCACACAGCCUUAGCUUCACAGAGGCCCUCAGGGUUUCCAGCAAACCACAGAGCCCUUGUCCUCUGUUCUCCUUCCUCAGUGACUGCCCACCUCUUAAGCUGGGGACAUGACAGGGGCAGUGAGUCUUACCAGAAGAACUGGACACUGAAGCCCACUAAAGGCUUCUACCGUGGCUCUACUUACCACACUUGGCAAGAGGAUAAGAGGCAAAGCUCCAAUCAGGAAAUUUUCCAUGUGCCAAUAACCCAUGCUCUAAUUUCCAUGACAAAGA